UACGAACCGUGAAAGCGUGGC
rnacentral:snRNA from 1 species